UACAGAGGUCUCAAGCGUUGUUCGGAUUCAUUGGGCGUAAAGGGUGCGUAGGUGGCGCCGUAAGUCAGGUGUGAAAUUUCGGAGCUUAACUCCGAAACUGCAUUUGAUACUGCGGUGCUUGAGGACUGGAGAGGAGACUGGAAUUCACGGUGUAGCAGUGAAAUGCGUAGAUAUCGUGAGGAAGACCAGUGGCGAAGGCGGGUCUCUGGACAGUUCCUGACACUGAGGCACGGAAGGCCAGGGGAGCAAACGGG
rnacentral:rRNA from 1 species